UGUUAAAUGCUAGAUUGGCUCCUGAGGCAGCGUAGUGUUGUGAGGAGUGACUAGGCUGGGCAGGGGCACAGCACAGUGGCAAGCAUGGUGAUGGGGGCCAGGGGAGAGACGAUGCUGGCCUGGCCAAGGCAGUGGCAGGAGGACCAAAGGAAGUGGACAAAUGCCACCCUGCAGAGGAUGCGGCGGACGGAAGGAAUGGUAGGCUCUUUGCUGAGAUAAAGGACCCAGUAGCAGAUCUUUGGUGCUUUGGCCUGUAAGGCUGAAGUGUGCACAGGGCAGUGUGGGAGGUGCCCACAGCAAUGCAGCCAGGCCCUGGCUCUGUGUGCCCUUGGGUGUCAUUUAAGCUCCUUGAGCCAAGUGUUCUCAUCUGCCAACUAACAAGAAUGCCAG
rnacentral:lncRNA from 1 species